rnacentral:tRNA from 1 species
GUCGCUGUAGGCAAAUGGUUAAGCCGCCAGUUUUAAACCUGUCACAAUUGCAAUGACCAGUUUAGGAUGGAGAUGCGGGUUCGAUUCCCACCAGCGACA